AUUAUAUCUAUGGGUUGGGUUAGGGUCAGGACUAAGGUCAUUAUAUCUAUGGGUUGGGUUAGGGUCAGGACUAAGGUCAUUAUAUCUAUGGGUUGGGUUAGGGUCAGGACUAGGGUCAGGACUAAGGUCAUUAUAUCUAUGGGUUGGGUUAGGGUCAGGACUAGGGUCAGGACUAAGGUCAUUAUAUCUAUGGGUUGGGUUAGGGUCAGGACUAGGGUCAUUAUAUCUAUGGGUUGGGUCAGGGUCAGGACUAAGGUAAUUAUAUCUAUGGGUUGGGUUAGGGUCAGGACUAGGGUCAGGACUAAGGUCAUUAUAUCAAUGGGUUGGGUUAGGGUCAGAACUAGGGUCAGGACUAAGGUCAUAUCUAUGGGUUGGGUUAGGGUCAGGACUAGGGUCAAGACUAAGGUCAUUAUAUCUAUGGGUUGGGUUAGGGUCAGGACUAGGGUCAGGACUAAGGUCAUUAUAUCAAUGGGUUGGGUUAGGGUCAGAACUAGGGUCAGGACUAAGGUCAUAUCUAUGGGUUGGGUUAGGGUCAGGACUAGGGUCAGGACUAGGGUCAUUAUAUCUAUGGGUUGGGUUAUGGUCAGGACUAGGGUCAGGACUAGGGUCAUUAUAUCUAUGGGUUGGGUUAGGGUCAGGACUAGGGUCAGGACUAAGGUCAUAUCUAUGGGUUGGGUUAGGGUCAGGACUAGGGUCAAGACUAAGGUCAUUAUAUCUAUGGGUUGGGUUAGGGUCAGGACUAGGGUCAGGACUAAGGUCAUUAUAUCUAUGGGUUAGGUUAGGGUCAGGACUAAGGUCAUUAUAUCUAUGGGUUAGGUUAGGGUCAGGACUAGGGUCAGGACUAAGGUCAUUAUAUCUAUGGGUUGGGUUAGGGUCAGGACUAGGGUCAUUAUAUCUAUGGGUUGGGUCAGGGUCAGGACUAAGGUCAUUAUAUCUAUGGGUUGGGUUAGGGUCAGGACUAGGGUCAGGACUAAGGUCAUUAUAUCAAUGGGUUGGGUUAGGGUCAGAACUAGGGUCAGGACUAAGGUCAUAUCUAUGGGUUGGGUUAGGGUCAGGACUAGGGUCAAGACUAAGGUCAUUAUAUCUAUGGGUUGGGUUAGGGUCAGGACUAGGGUCAAGACUAAGGUCAUUAUAUCUAUGGGUUGGGUUAGGGUCAGGACUAGGGUCAGGACUAAGGUCAUUAUAUCAAUGGGUUGGGUUAGGGUCAGAACUAGGGUCAGGACUAAGGUCAUAUCUAUGGGUUAGGUUAGGGUCAGGACUAGGGUCAUUAUAUCUAUGGGUUGGGUUAUGGUCAGGACUAGGGUCAUUAUAUCUAUGGGUUGGGUUAGGGUCAGGACUAGGGUCAUUAUAUCUAUGGGUUGGGUUAGGGUCAGGACUAGGGUCAGGACUAAGGUCAUAUCUAUGGGUUGGGUUAGGGUCAGGACUAGGGUCAAGACUAAGGUCAUUAUAUCUAUGGGUUGGGUUAGGGUCAGGACUAAGGUCAUUAUAUCUAUGGGUUGGGUUAGGGUCAGGACUAGGGUCAGGACUAAGGUCAUUAUAUCUAUGGGUUAGGUUAGGGUCAGGACUAAGGUCAUUAUAUCUAUGGGUUAGGUUAGGGUCAGGACUAGGGUCAGGACUAAGGUCAUUAUAUCUAUGGGUUGGGUUAGGGUCAGGACUAGGGUCAGGACUAAGGUCAUUAUAUCUAUGGGUUGGGUUAGGGUCAGGACUAGGGUCAGGACUAAGGUCAUUAUAUCUAUGGGUUGGGUUAGGGUCAGGACUAGGGUCAGGACUAAGGUCAUUAUAUCUAUGGGUUGGGUUAGGGUUAGUGUAGUUAAUGGAAGCCUUAACUGGUUUAUUUACAACAACAAAAUAAGUCGAUUUUUUUCUCAGAACUAUGCUCCCUCCUGACUUCGACAGCUCUCUCAUCUCCUUGUGACUGGAUUCAUGACUGGAUCCUCCUGGAUAGCUCUGACCCGUCACAAAAUGUUAAACACGGCUUUCACUUCAGUGUCUCUUGAUUGAGUCGAUCGUUUCUUUAUGACGUGGCAUACUCUGCAUUUUGUUUUGUAAAACUGUAAAGGCUCAUUAAAAAUAUAUGACAAACAGACUCAGCGCCAGUCUGUGGACGGGCCGACGCCGGAAAUGACUUCAUGACAUCGAAAAGGAAAGGUGGACAAAGGUGGACAAACGGACAUCCAUUCCAGCCUAAAAAUAAUAACAGCCUAAAAAUAAUAACAAUAAUAAUGAUAUUAAUAAUAAUAAUAAUAAUAGUGAUUAUGAUAAUAAUAAUGAUGAUAAUAACUAAUGAUUAUGAUGAUAAUAAUAAUGAGAAAAAGAAGAAGACGUAGAAGAAGAAGGUCUCUGACGUCGUAAUUGUGCGACACGUUUUCAGAGACGGGCGCGUGCUGCCGUAAACCGUGACGGCUGGGUUCGGGUUGUCUUUCGGGAGUUG
ensembl:lncRNA